UACGUAGGGUGCGAGCGUUGUCCGGAAUUACUGGGCGUAAAGCGCGCGCAGGCGGCUUCCCAAGCGCCACGUGAAAGCCCCGGGCUCAACCCGGGAGGGUCGCGGCGAACUGGCAGGCUAGAGUGCGGGAGAGGAGAGUGGAAUUCCUGGUGUAGCGGUGAAAUGCGCAGAUAUCAGGAGGAACACCGGUGGCGAAGGCGGUUCUCUGGGCAUGUCCCGACGCUGAGGAGCGAAAGUGUGGGGAGCGAACAGG
rnacentral:rRNA from 1 species